CCUCAAGGAAUAGGUAGGAAGUGUUAUUUACACAUUUUUUCCUCCCAUACAUCAUUAUUAAUUUAUGUUCAUUAUCUUAUUCAAUUCAUUCAAUUCGACGAUCGUAAGUUGAUAGGGCUGUGCAAGAGGUAAAAAUGAGUGUGUGGAUAACACCUUCCAUUAGGUAAUAUACCAGAAUUGCACCAAAUAAAUAAAAUUAGCCUCUUUGCAGACACUCACAUGUGUGUGCGAGACCGUUUUUUAAUCAUGGGCGCUACGGCGCCCUAAAGAUAUUUUGUUAGUUAUUCUUCAUUGCAAUUUUGAAAAAAAAUAUGUUUCAUGUAUUGUGCAAGUCAGAGACUUUUUCUUUAUCAUGUUCUUUGGACCAAAUUUUGCACACACUCGGCCCAUAUACUCUAUGUUGUUGGAUGAGAGAAAUAUUAAGGAUCAUGAUCAAGG
rnacentral:lncRNA from 1 species